rnacentral:rRNA from 1 species
GGUUGCGAUCAUACCAGCACUAAUGCACCGGAUCCCAUCAGAACUCCGCAGUUAAGCGUGCUUGGGCGAUAGUAGUACUAGGAUGGGUGACCCCCUGGGAAGUCCUCGUGUUGCAACCCC